CCGCACAAAAGUCCAAGAAGUCUUGGACUCUUAACAAACUCCUAACAAACCCUAACAACCCUAGGUUAUGGUUUAAAAGGAAAUAAGACAGGGCACCUCAAGAGAAAUUUGAGCAGUGGUUAGCAUGGAAAAGAGAGGAUGGGCGUGCGUGGUGAUGAGAUAGGCACACAAAAGAAAAGAGGAGGGCAUGGGGUUCAAGAGUUGAACGUCUCCACUCUUCCUUGCGUGAGAAGUCCAAGCAUACCGGUCUGCCCCACCCAAUUGAUGAUCACCAUCCAGAUGGGGAUCCAAGUGCGAAGAGCGACGCCACCACUCCCCAGCCUCUUUCGAUGGAGAUUCUGCUCUGAGCUAUACUCUAUGUCAUCGAGAGGAGAACCUUAACCAAAAGAUUCGAGAGAUCAAGCACCAUCUAGCCGAGGUUCAGGUGGAUAGCCGAGGGAACGAUGAACCCCUCAGCUUCAAUUCCCAACCACCCUUCACCCAUUUCAUCCUUCAGGAACCGAUCCCAGGUCAGUUUAAGAUCCACAGUUAGAGCCAUACAAUGGCUCUACCAACCCUUUAGAUCACCUUGAGGGCUACAAAGCCCUCAUGAUACUCCAAAGUGCUUCGGAUGUCCUCUUCUAUCUCAUCCUUUCUGCGACUUUCAAGAAAGUGGUACAUGUUUGGUACUUCGAUCUUUAGCCAAGAUCAAUUUUCUCAUUUGAGCAACUCGGGCACUAGUUCAUUGCUCACUUCGGCAAUAACUGAGUUCAGUUCAGAAACUCAGAUACUCUCUUCUCUAUCUACCAAGAGGAGAAUGAAUCACAAUGCAAUUACAUGGUGUAUUUUGAUGUAGCCACAUUUGAAGUGCUCAACCUAGGUGAAGCAGUCACCAUGUUAGCUUUGAAGAGAGGCCUCCAUAAUAAGCACCUCAUUUACUCCCUCGACAAAAUAUAUCUGACUAUGCCAACCUUCUAGCAUAAGCCCGCAAGUACAUGUAGGUUGAAGAGAGCCAUGUCGCAUGUCAACAAGAGGAUCUUCCAAUAAGAAAAAAUAUGCAUGAGAGGAUGUGUGCCCGAACCAGUCUAAAGUAGGUUCCUCCUGACCAGCAAAAUCCCCUCGAUCGAGAAAUACACCUCGGCACUACAACAACUACGCCCUGCUAACCAUCCCUUAAGCUCAAAUCCUUAUAGAGAUCGAGGGCCAGAGAUACCUCUGCCAACCUCCGUCAAUGAAGUCUCCAUCAACCUAGCAGAACAAGUGAAAGUACUAUCUCUUCCAUCAUGACCAUGAUCACGACACUGAGUACCUUCAACUGAAGGAUGAGAUCAGAUAUUCAUUCGACAAGGCUAUCUCAACAAAUAUAUCCAUGGGGAGCAAAACCAAGCACUUGAGAAAUCAUCUCAGUAUUAGCCCAUGAGGAUAAUAGCAACAAUCGACCUAAAGCUAGUGUCAUCAAUAUGAUCUCCGGCCUCGGUAGUGGCGGGGGGCAGAAGACCACACCAAAAGUCCAAAAAGAUAGAAGACUAAUGGUGUAAUUUUCUUUUCCGAUGAUGAUAUCCAAGGAGUUCAAACUUCUUCUGAUGAUGAUGUCGUUAUUUCUAUGAUGAUAGCUAAUUAUGAUGUAAAAAAAAAUUUAUUGAUAAUGAAAGCUCCAUAGAUAUCUUAUUUUAUGA